rnacentral:misc_RNA from 1 species
GUGAAUCAUCGAAUCUUUGAACGCACAUUGCGCUCUCUGGUAUUCCGGAGAGCAUGCCCGUUUCAGAAUCAGCAAAUCAUCCUCAAUCCUCCCCAGGCGUUUGUUCGCUCGGGGACGGUUGGACUUUGGACGUGUCGUUUCUCCUUCCAGGCAACUGGGAAAGCGAAACUCGUCUCAAAUUGAUGGGAAAUGCUGGGGUCACCGCUCAACGGACCUUGCAAAGCAGCAACAGUGAUCGUCAUUGAUUUUGUUACUCUCUUUGCACUCGGGCCGCAGGUACCUCGUCUUACAAGGCCUUUC